rnacentral:rRNA from 1 species
GAUGAACGCUGGCGGCGCGCCUAACACAUGCAAGUCGAACGGUUAAAGCACCUUUUAGGUGUGUAUAAAGUGGCGAACGGCUGAGUAACACGUGGGCAACCUGCCUCCUCUUGGGGAUAGCCUCGGGAAACCGAGGAUAAUACCCGAUACUUCAAUGUGGCCGCAUGACGACAUUGAGAAAGCUUUUGCGGAGAAGGAUGGGCCCGCGGCCUGUUAGCUUGUUGGUGGGGUAGAGGCCUACCAAGGCAAUGAUGGGUAGCUGGGUUGAGAGACCGACCAGCCAGAUUGGGACUGAGACACGGCCCAGACUCCUACGGGAGGCAGCAGUGGGGAAUCUUGCACAAUGGGCGAAAGCCUGAUGCAGCGACGCCGCGUGCGGGACGAAGGCCUUCGGGUUGUAAACCGCUUUCAGCAGGGACGAGGCGAUAAGUGACGGUACCUGCAGAAGAAGCCCCGGCUAACUACGUG